GAAGGGGGGCGGGGUGAGAAGGGCUUUAAAAGUCCAUUGUUCAGUUUCUUGCCUUCACCGAGAGAGCUCCGACACACUGCCACGAUCCUUUGCCAUUUGAUUCAAGAAUGGCUUGCUCUUAGAAUUAGAUCUCAGGGGAACAGAGCUUGGAGACCUUCAAGUCUUCCGUUUUGCACUCACCCUACGGAAUUGAGGGAGAGACAAGAUUUCCAGGGGUGUUUACCUGCAACUCCGACCCCAGAGAGGAGCUCCAAAUCGGGGCAGAGCGGCCAAGAGGGCCCCAGACUCAGGGAUCAAACUCAGGACCUGUGCUUUCCGGGCAAGUGGCGGAACCACUAAGCUAAAUCCCCAGCCCCUAUCAUUAAACUUUUAAAUCACUGGAUCUUUCAGUUAAGCCAAUGUGGCCUAAUUGUCAUAACAUAUCAAUAAGUUGAAAUAAGCUAAUUCUAAUUUGGGGGGUGGGGUAGGGUCCAUGUAGUGUAGGCUGGCCUUGAACUCAGUAUAUAGCCCUGGCUGGCCUCGAACUCACAGCAAUCCUCCUGCUUCAGCUUCUUGAGUCCUAGGAUUACAGGCAUGUGCCAUCAUGCCCAGCUAAAAUAAACUAAUUUCAUAAGUAGGUGAGCUGAGGCAACCAGAGGUUGAGCCCCAUAAGAGACGGGGCAUAGUCAAUCUCUGAAGACCCUCUCCUCAGUACUUUGGUGCAUUCUGGAGCAUAGGGUGGCCCCUGGUCAUGAACGGCACACCUUGAAAUCAUUAGUAUGCAGGGCCUUUUCCUGCUUACUUAAUACAGGUGAGAGAUGUUCCUACACACAAGGCAGAUAUAGGCUUGGACUAAGGACAGCAACCCCUGACUUUUGGGGAAAAGUCACAAGGGAAUGAACUAUUCUACAGUAACCACCCACUCGGGGCUUGGUUUCAGAGGCGCUUCCAGUCUCCUUCCAGAGAGCUUCUUAGCUCUCCUUCUUUAGCUUCCAGAUAAACAGUUCUGUGGGUGUUUAUUUUAUGUCUGUCAGGGAGGGGCCUCCAUUGCUGGUUGCAGGUGCCUGGACAACAGGUGGGGACGUUAGUUAGCAACCUCACUCCUGUGUGAGCAAUGCUUCUCUCCUGUCGCCAGGACAGGGUCUGGGAGGGCGUUCUGCACAUUUUGUGAGCACAAGGCUGGGAGUCUGUGUGCAAAAGACAGGUGUGGAGUUCUGUGUAUAGAAGGAGGCUGUCACGUUCUCAAUUCGCCCAGCAGCCUCUGCAGCCUCACUCCUGCCCGUGCAGAACAAGCACACUGGUGUUCUCUGGAUGCUUCUUAGAAAUGUAGAUCCUCAGCCCCUAGCC
rnacentral:lncRNA from 1 species